AUCAUGGACAGCUUUCCAUGCCAAUACAAUCAUCUCUUGGUACCUGUGGGGAAUUGGUUCCAGGACUCCCCAUACAUACCAAAAUCCACGGAUUAAGUCCCUUAUAUAAAAUGAUCUAGAAAACAAAAAUGGAGCCAAGAAGAAUUAGGCAGGUGAUCCAGGGAAUGCACUUUGUCGUCAUCGGGCUUCACUUGUCUUACAGUCUGCAGGGCCACCUGACCUGUAGAAAGAGGACCUCAGAUUUGAGAACAAUGGAAGGGUGCCUUCGCCUCCCCCAAACAUGCCUACUGAUUGAGUUUCUCAAGGGCAGAGGCCUUGUCUCAUGUUUCUCAGCACCCUCAGCAUCUGGAACGUAGGAAAGUGAUGAAUGAGUGAAUGAAUGAGGAAUAUAUUGAAUUCACACACUCAGAAAGUUGAAAAAAUUGCAUAAAGCUGUAUAUUCUAUAAUACAAAAUUGUAUGAAUGAGUUGAUACCUGAAACGUUCUGUAAAGCAAUUUGUUCAUGGGGAGAGAGGGUAAGAAUUGGUAUAGAGCUCAGGACACCAGAGACUGAGGAGAGAAAAUGCAGAAGAAGCCAUGGUGGUAUGUCCCUUUGAUCCCAACUACAUGGGGAGGCUUGCUUGAGCCUAGAAGUUCAAGACCAGCCUGGGCAACAUACAAGACCCUUUCUCAAAAAAGAAAUUUUAAAAUGCAGAAGAGACAUAUGGAUACAUGACCAUAUAAUUUAUAUAAUUUACAGUUAAAUCAAUACAAUUUUGAGAGUAAAUUAAAAUGAUUAAAAUUAUUGAUUUACUGACUGAAAAUUAGUUUCUUAUAUUGUUGGAUCUAUAGGGUAGUUCUAUAUUAAAAAUUAUUUUA
rnacentral:lncRNA from 1 species